ACUCCUACGGGUGGCUGCAGUGAGGAAUAUUGGACAAUGGGUGGAAGCCUGAUCCAGCCAUCCCGCGUGCAGGAAGACGGCCCUAUGGGUUGUAAACUGCUUUUGUAUAGGGAUAAAUCAUCUUACGAGAUAGGAUGUUGAAGGUACUAUACGAAUAAGCAUCGGCUAACUCCGUGCCAGCAGCCGCGGUAAUACGGAGGAUGCGAGCGUUAUCCGGAUUCAUUGGGUUUAAAGGGUCCGUAGGCGGGCUAAUAAGUCAGUGGUGAAAUCUCACAGCUCAACUGUGAAAUUGCCAUUGAUACUGUUAGUCUUGAGUGAGUUUGAUGUUGCUGGAAUGUGUAGUGUAGCGGUGAAAUGCAUAGAUAUUACACGGAACACCGAAUGCGAAGGCAGGUAACAAAGACUUAACUGACGCUGAUGGACGAAGGCGUGGGGAGCGAACAGGAUUAGAUACCCUGGUAGUCCACGCAGUAAACGAUGCUAACUCGUUUUCGGGGUGAAGAACUUCGGAGACCAAGCGAAAGUGAUAAGUUAGCCACCUGGGGAGUACGUUCGCAAGAAUGAAACUCAAAGGAAUUGACGGGGGCCCGCACAAGCGGUGGAGCAUGUGGUUUAAUUCGAUGAUACGCGAGGAACCUUACCAAGGCUUAAAUGCAUUUUGACGUACCCUGAAAGGGGUAUUUCUUCGGACAGGAUGCAAGGUGUUGCAUGGAUGUCGUCAGCUCGUG
rnacentral:rRNA from 1 species